rnacentral:SRP_RNA from 1 species
GGCGGGUCCCCUCCGCAUUGCAGGGCGGCGAACCUGGUCAGGUCCGGAAGGAAGCAGCCAUAGUCGUUUCCGCAAGUGCUGGGGUCAGGCUCGCCCCU